GCCUGGGUGGCUCUGUUGGUUGAGUGUCUGACUUCGACUCAGGUCAUGAUCUCAUGGUUCGUGGGUUUGAGCCCUACAUCAGGCC
rnacentral:tRNA from 1 species